rnacentral:rRNA from 1 species
AGAGGAGAGUGGAAUUCCUGGUGUAGCGGUGAAAUGCGUAGAUAUCAGGAGGAACACCGGUGGUGUAGACGGCUCUCUGGACCGUAACUGACGCUGAGACACGAAAGCGUGGGUAGCAAACAGGAUUAGAUACCCUGGUAGUCCACGCCCUAAACGAUGCAUAUUUGGUGUGGGCAGUUCAUUCUGUCCGUGCCGGAGCUAACGCGUUAAAUAUGCCGCCUGGGGAGUACAGUCGCAAGGCUGAAACUCAAAGGAAUUGACGGGGGCCCGCACAAGCGGUGGAGCAUGUGGUUCAAUUCGACGCAACGCGAAGAACCUUACCUGGGCUCGAACGGCUGGUCAACGGAGGUGGAAACACUUCUACCCCGCAAGGGGGUCCAGUCGAGGUGCUGCAUGGCUGUCGUCAGCUCGUGUCGUGAGAUGUUGGGUUAAGUCCCGCAACGAGCGCAACCCUUGUCCUGUGUUGCCAUCAUUCAGUUGGGAACUCGCAGGAGACCGCCAGGGAUAACCUGGAGGAAGGUGGGGAUGACGUCAAGUCCUCAUGGCCUUUAUGUCCAGGGCUACACACGUGCUACAAUGGACGGUACAAAGCGCAGCAAACCCGCGAGGGGGAGCCAAUCGCAAAAAACCGUUCUCAGUUCGGAUUGCAGGCUGCAACUCGCCUGCAUGAAGCUGGAAUCGCUAGUAAUGGCAGAUCAGCACGCUGCCGUGAAUACGUUCCCGGGCCUUGUACACACCGCCCGUCACAUCACGAAAGUGGAUUGUACUAGAAGUCUGCGCGCUGACCCGCAAGGGAGGCAGCGGCCCAAGGUAUGAU